rnacentral:lncRNA from 1 species
AGUUUUUGAACCGCAUCGGAGUCUCUGUUUCCCCUCCUGAGGUCUUCCCCCCUUCUCCCCUACGAAGUCCACAGAGAGUUCCCCAAGAUUUCUUGGAUAAGCUUAACAAACAAAUCACAGAAGGCACUUUUUGUUCUGAUAUGGAUUCAUCUUCCCCUCACCCCGAGGGUACACAUAAUGCACAGCAACCUACAGGGUGGACGCGCCCUGAUGACUAUGAUUCGGAAAUCGAAUCCUGGUUUGAUGACAUCCCUACAC